CAAGGGGUAGUUUAAUAUAGAAUAUCAGCUUUGGGUGCUGAUGGUGGGGGUUGUCCCUCCUCCUUGA
rnacentral:tRNA from 1 species